AUUGAACGCUGGCGGCAGGCCUAACACAUGCAAGUCGAACGAGUGGCGGACGGGUGAGUAAUGUCUUGGAAACUGCCUGAUGGAGGGGGAUAACUACUGGAAACGGUAGCUAAUACAGCAUACCAUCGGAUGUGCCCAGAUGGGAUUAGCUAGUAGGUGGGGUAAAGGCUCACCUAGGCGACGAGCCCUAGCUGGUCGGAGAGGAUGACCAGCCACACUGGAACUGCGACACGGUCCAGAAUCCUACGGGAGGCAGCAGUGGGGAAUAUUGCACAAUGGACGCAAGCCUGAUGCAGCCAUGCCUCGUGUAUGAAGGAGGCCUUCGGGUUGUAAAGUACUUUCAGCGGGGAGGCGUUACCCGCAGAAGAAGCACCGGCUAACUCCGUGCCAGCAGCCGCGGUAAUUC
rnacentral:rRNA from 1 species